rnacentral:rRNA from 1 species
UACGUAGGGAGCGAGCGUUGUCCGGAAUUACUGGGCGUAAAGGGCGCGUAGGCGGGAACUUAAGUUAGAUGUGAAAACUCCGGGCUUAACCUGGAGACUGCAUUUAAAGCUGGGUUUCUUGAGGGCAGGAGAGGAAAGUGGAAUUCCUAGUGUAGCGGUGAAAUGCGUAGAUAUUAGGAGGAACACCAGUGGCGAAGGCGACUUUCUGGACUGUACCUGACGCUGAGGCGCGAAAGCAUGGGGAGCGAACAGG